GCUGCCAUGGAGACACGGCCCAGCGGCCGCCGGCCCCGCCCUGGGAGCCCCGCAGUGCGUCGCGCCGCUGCCCGCAUCUCCGAGGCCCGCGACGAGCGGGGCCUCACGGGAGCUGGAUGCUCGGAGCAGCAAGGCGGCCCUGGGGGCCCCUUCCGGUCCCGGGGCUGACGCCUGGCGGCGUCUCCGGGAACCCGCGCCCUUUCAAGCGCCGCUGGCUCCUGUUUCACAGAUGGAGACCCUGAAGCCCCAACAAGCAGCCUCCCCAGCACCUCCCAGUGACUGAAAAAGCUGGCACUGGGCGCCCGUCUCACUCUCCACCCAGCUCCCAGGCUGCCCCACGGGACCAGCACCUUUGGGGAGAGACGAGACCUGAACAAACGCUGGGGCUGGAUCCCCAGGGUGGGUCAGAACAGCCGUUGCCCUGAAAGCUGGCCCGGACAGAUGCGUGCGGGGCGUGCCACCGGAGCUCCUUCCAGCUUGCGUCUGGGGCCACCAUGUCCCUUCCUCAGGGCACUGGAUCCAUCUCUUCAAGCUCAGUGGUCCAGGCCAUGGUGGCAGAAUCACCCCCCAGGGUGUGACGCCUCGUCCCUGUCAAUUCCACACAGCUGCACCCGGAAGAGCUGUGGCCGGGCGCCGCUCUGACCUGUGUGCGGUCCCCUGAAUGGGUCUCAGGUGUCUUCAGAAUGGUGAGGCCGCCUCAUUUCCUCACCACACAACCCUCCUGAGGACGUUGCCUGCAAAUGGGCGGAAUUCCUAAUUUCUACCAUUCAGUUAAACGAGGGAUCCUUAAGCCCCAAAGCUGGGAAAGCUGUCCGUUAAUUUAGUGCGCGUGGGCCGUCUCAGAACAGCAGGGUUCCCAGGAGUCCAGCGGGACGGGGGAGGGGAUGAGUGGCCGUGUCCCCCUGGCAGAGAAGGCCUUGUCUGAAGGCUACGCCCGCCUCCGGUACAGGGACACCUCCUUGCUCAUCUGGCAGCAGCAACAGCAGAAGUUGGAGUCGGUGCCACCUGGGACGUACCUGAGCAGGAGCCGAAGCAUGUGGUACUCACAGUAUGGAAAUGAGGCCAUCUUGGUCCGAGACAAAAACAAGCUCGAGGUCUCUAGGGACACAGGGCAGUCCAAGUUUUGCACAAUUAUGUAAUUCCGAUGUGAGCACCUGAACCCAGGACCACACUUUGAGGAAAACAGACCUGAGUUUCAUUCAGUUGUCUUGUUGAUUUCCAAUCCUUGCUGGAAGAUUUUGAAUAAUGAACGUGAAGAUCAAACUGUGGUGUAAGAACCCAAGAAGCGCAGAAUUGGCCCCCGAACCCCUCAGCACAGCCGCGGUGUGACUGGUGCACAGGACACUUCCCCUCUAGAGUCCCCUCCGUGGUCAGCUGUUGUGACAUUUGAAUUCUCCAGGUGCUGCUAGGGACAGCAUAGGCCCGGGCACUGCUAGAUGCUUGGUUUAAACCAGGCCAAGAGUAACCCUCCCAUCCCCAUUACAAACCACCUUUUCAAGUUUUUUAGGUUUUAGUUUUUUGUUUUUAGCAUAAAUGGCGGAGUAGCAGCAGCAUCUCACCAGGAGCUUUGUCGCAUUACAUUUUGUAUUUUGCUUUUUUGAGACGGGGUCUCACUCUGUUACCCAGGCUGGAAUACAGUGGCACAAUCACAGCUCACUGUAGGCUCUAUCUCCUGGGCUCAGGUGAUCCUCCCAAACUCAGCCUCCCAGGUAGCUGUGGCUCCAGGCGAACUACUGUAUAUAGAGACAGGGUUUCCCUAUGUUGCCCAGGCUGGUCUGGUCUUAUAGUCCUGGGCUCAAGCCUCCCAGAGUGCUGGGAUUACAGGCAUGGGUCACCGCACCAAGCCCGCAUUUAUAUUUUGAGUUACCAAAAUGAUCAUCAUCUGUGAAGCAUCAUGGUAGCUUCCAAGCAUUUGCGGCCCACUGGCCAGUGCAUCCAAAACACAUUCAGGAAACCCGAGAGUUGUAAGUUGCACAUGUGUGGCCUACAGUGACUUCCAUGUAGUAACAGGGCUGAGCAAGGCAGGCUCUCCACCAGACUUAAAGCAUUCAACCACUCUGCCCCCAGGCCGACACUGACAUGUGUUCACUGUCGCUGCCACAGCUGGCCACCUGUGUUCAGUCUCCAUGAAGGAUUCACCUUCUGCUCUCACUGACAUCUCCUUGGCUACACAAAUGUGCAGGUGUCUCUUGUCAAAGCUAAUUUUUCUUUUCUAAAUAAACAUCCUUUAAUACACUCCUCCCCUUCCUCACACUUAUUUUUAUCCUUGUUCGUAAUAUCCUACUUGGCUUCCCAUUUUUUAUAGCAGUAAUAUGUAAUUGAUUGCUAAAGACUGCAAUACACAAAGGCAUAAAGCAAAGCACAAGUGCUCUCCGUGGGGAGAACCCGGCCGGCAGCUGGGGAUGCGUCCCACAGCUCCUCAGCAUGCACACACGGUCACGUGAUUCUGACGGCCUCAUCCUGCACCAUGCCUCUUGUAUCCGCCAUUUUCUUUCUUGCUCAACUGUACAGACUGGGCAUUCACUUAAUGCUUUUCUUUUUUUUUAAGAGAGUCUCACUCUGUUGCCCAGGCUGGAGUGCAAUGGCACAAUCUCAGCUCACUGCAACCUCUGCCUCCUGGGUUCAGGCGAUUCUCCUGCCUCAGCCUCCUGAGUAGCUGGAAUUACAGGUGCCUGCCACCACGCCUGGCUAAUUUUUCUAUUUUUAAUAGAGACAAGGUUUCACCAUGUUGGCCAGGCUGGUCUCGAACUGCCAAUCUCAGGUGAUCUGCCCACCUCGGCCUCCCAAAGUACUGGGAUUACAGGCGUGAGCCACCGCACCCGGCCCACUUCAUGCUUUUAACCUCUGACUCGCAGCUCUCCCGUGAGCCCACAGACGGGCACAGUGACAGCAUCCAGGUUGUCAUCUGUGCAAACAGCAUGUUCUGAAUGUGCCUGUACUCUGUUCGUGCUUCUCUUUGCAGCUGUGCAAGUUCAUUCGCAAACGUCCUAGAAGUGGAACUGCUGGGUCAAAGUGCAUUCCCCAAAUGUCCUGCCAGAGGCCUGGUCGGCAGCAGCCUCCUGCACAGCCCGAGUCCCUUCUGCGAGAGUCCUGGCUUGUUUGCAGCCUGCAGCUGGGAGAUUUGAAGUCAGACUUCCAGGAUUGCCGCAUGGAGCUGCAGAGGGAGUGAGCAUGGGGCUGGAGGACCUGCCCCGCCGGCUGACACUCCCACAGCAAGGCGGGCCCGCCAAGGAAGCACUCCACAUCCGCUAGGUAGGGUUUGUCUGCAUCUUUUCAGUUCUUCAGUUUAAGUCCUGCCUGGGAAGAAAGCAAACUCCAGAGGCAAAUCUGGAAUGCCUGUGUGCCACCUUCUCACCGCACCACAGACUCCCCUGAGGACGGGUUGUGGCGGGGUUGGCCCCAAGCAUGGGAGGCAGCGCAGACAUGCAGAAUGGGGUCUGAGGUCACGUUGCAACGCUGGCAGGAUGUGUGCUCAAGGGCCAGUCUCUGCAGGGGUCAGGGCGUGUGGGCCACGCACAAGGAGCUGGCACUAAGCCGCUUAGGCUGCAGGAAGACACCAUCUGCCUGGGGCGGACAAGGCCCCAUGUCCGUCCUCAAGGAGGCUGGUCUGGAUGAGAAGGGUCACAGUCUGGCCAGGAGUGUCACCGUGCCCCCUGACCCCAUCUGGGGUCGGGCUGGACAGGUCCUCAGGCCUAGACGUGGGCCCAGCCAGAACCUUCUCCCCUGGCAUGUCUCUUCCAGGCCUAGUUCCAGAGCUGUCAUUCUUCGGCGAGCCGCGCUGCACGCCAGCCUCCAGUCUGGCAGUUAAACCUCACUAUGAAAAUCUGCUUUUGGGAUUUUAUUUGCAUUUCCAUUAGACUGAGCGCAUCACAAGCCACUUCAGGAUAGACUGAGGUGCAGAGGGAGGGGACAAGCGGCCAGGUUGACUAGAAGAGCACAGAACCUGGCUGUCUCGAAGAGGGCAGCUUGUUCCAGGGAACCAAUGAACUGUCAGUAAAGGGGAUUGUGGCUUCCUAGUGAGGCAAGAAAUGAUGCUCCCUUCAUCCUGCCAGGGCUCAGGACAAGAGCUACUUAAUGGUUUGAUUAUUAUUAUUUUUUAAGAGAUGUUGUCCAGGCUGGAGUGCAGUGAUGCAAUCAUGGCUUACUGCAGCCUCAAACUCCUGGCCUCAGGCCAUCCUCCUGCCUCAGCCUCCCAAAGUGCUGUGAUCACAGGCACGAGCCACUGCAUCCUGCCUUUAAAUGGUUUUUUGGGGCCCCUUUUGGAUGCUCUGGGUGUUUUUGCCAAGAGUUACAGGAUGUCAAGUGUGGGGAGCUCAGCACCCUUGCUGUGGACCAGUGAAGGCUGUUCCAGACCAGGUGCUUCCAGACAUUUCCAGGCUCCAGGAGAGAGGCUGGGAGCCCCCACAGAAAGCACAGGAAAAUGCAAAAAAAAAAAACAGUCUUUUUUUUUUUUUUUUUUUUUGCUUUUUAUUAUGAAAACAAAACAAAUGCCCCAGGAGAAGGGUCCAUGAUUACCAGAAACAUCAAAGAGUACUUUCUACCAUUUUUAUUCUGUUGUGUUGAGGCCAGCAUUGCAAUAAACAAGCUAAACUACUUACAUUGGACUCAUUUUCAGUAACUGACAUUUACAGGAAUAUACUAGAAACGGCACUAAAAAGUUUAAGAAAAGUUACGGUAAACUUGCAUGCACAUCAUACAGAAAAGUAACAUUUUAAAUAUAAAAAAGAAAAACUUCCUGGAAGCAUUAUGCCAGUAUUAAGGAACAGUGCUACUCUGGAUGUGACAAAUUCUGUAUGUGGGUGUUACUCUUUCCCAAAAGACUGUCAGAGGCGUGAGUGCUGCAAAAGAACAACAACAAAAACAAACACACAAAAAAAUGUGUCUUACAGUUUGUAAGCAAGAUGACACUGCCCAACACAAAGAGGGGUCUGGAGUUCAGUUCACGCCCGAAGCCUGCCCCCUCGGCCUCCAGGGGUCAUUCAGAGUGUUCUCAAAUCCAAUUCCGACACACGACUUGUCACUACUCCUCUCCCCUUGAAAAAAGCAUGUUAGAAGCUGCCCUACAGGUCUCAGCAGUGGGACAAUCUAAUUGAAUCACCGCAGCCUUCUAAUACAGAAGAAACGGACGUGACUGUCACCCUCAGCCCGCCAGCAAGGGCGCUGAGGAAGUCAUUAAUCCUUCGAAACUCUGAAAAGAAACCAGUGUUGAAGUCUGGACAGAAAGCCUUAAAAAAGUGACAGCACCAAUGCAGCUGCUCAGUGUACCCGCCGUGGGCUGUCAGGGUCAGUGGCUUCUUUCUAGAUGAAAGGAGCAGAGGCGAGCCGACGCCACCGUCACAGAGAACCAGCCGAGAAGGAAAGGCCCCACGAUGCUCCUGCUGCGCUGCCCCCACAGCCGGCCGCUCCCCCGACGGCUCACACAGGCAGCACCUCACUGCCCUGUGGCUGGAGGGGCAUUGCAAGGAGCGCCCCCCAGCCCCAGGCACCCCCGGCUUAGGGUGUACGUAUCACCCAGCCCUGUGCUGGCAGCACGUUACCAACCAGCCUGCGUGAAGACCUGUCAACUGUCGUGUGUGAAUUCCUUAAAUUCGGUUUAAAUAGUCCAUUAAAGAUCUGUUUAGAAAAUACCUUUGAAAACGAGGGUAACUUUAAAAAAUGGAAACUUUCAAAUCCAUUUAUAUUUUUAUUAUAAACAAAACUUAAUUAAAAGUUUAACAAACUGGCUGAAAACUCA
rnacentral:lncRNA from 10 species